GACGAACGCUGGCGGCGUGCCUAAUACAUGCAAGUAGAACGCUGAAGGAGGAGCUUGCUUCUCUGGAUGAGUUGCGAACGGGUGAGUAACGCGUAGGUAACCUGCCUGGUAGCGGGGGAUAACUAUUGGAAACGAUAGCUAAUACCGCAUAAGAGUAGAUGUUGCAUGACAUUUGCUUAAAAGGUGCAAUUGCAUCACUACCAGAUGGACCUGCGUUGUAUUAGCUAGUUGGUGAGGUAACGGCUCACCAAGGCAACGAUACAUAGCCGACCUGAGAGGGUGAUCGGCCACACUGGGACUGAGACACGGCCCAGACUCCUACGGGAGGCAGCAGUAGGGAAUCUUCGGCAAUGGACGGAAGGCUGACCGAGCAACGCCGCGUGAGUGAAGAAGGUUUUCGGAUCGUAAAGCUCUGUUGUAAGAGAAGAACGAGUGUGAGAGUGGAAAGUUCACACUGUGACGGUAGCUUACCAGAAAGGGACGGCUAACUACGUG
rnacentral:rRNA from 1 species